rnacentral:lncRNA from 1 species
UACACACUGUCCUUUGGCCUGGAUGACCUCAUAUAAAUCCCCUCCUGUUCUAAUUCACUGCCCACAGCCCUGCUGAUAAAAGCAAAGCUCAUCUCUGCCGUGCUGCAGGGAACCCUAUUUCCUUCCCCUGCAGCUCAGCCACCUCCUCCUCUCAGGUCUGCCAGCCAUGAAACUUCUUUACCUGUUUCUUGCCAUCCUUCUGGCCAUAGAAGAACCAGUGAUAUCAGGAUUGCAGUAAGGAUGAAAUGACAUAAUAAUGCAAAGCUCUAUUGCAGAAAUUGUCAGUCCUGCUGCCUCCAGUCCUACAUGAGGAUAAGCAUUUCUGGCAAAGAGGAAAAUACCGACUGGUCUUAUGAGAAGCAGUGGCCAAGACUACCUUGAGUGCUGGUGAUUACCAUUCUCAAGCUCUCUGGGCACAGAGACCUGCUGUCAACCCCCCUCAUUAAAAUUCAUGUGCCUGCUAC